rnacentral:lncRNA from 1 species
GAAAUGUAUUUCUAUAUGCUGACUGCCUUUCUUUUUUUUUUUUUACAGCAUCAUAACCUCAAUCAAACAAACUUUUAAAAUACUUUCUGGACAAGGAGAUAUUUCAAGGAACAUGCGUCCUUCUUAUCACUUGUGUUACAAAAUGUUCAGUUUGUACACCAACAAUUGUUGAGCUCUACCCACAGCAAGCACCAGAAAACUCCUCCUGUUCUGAAGUAGUACCAUGAACCAGUUUCAUUCAGUUGAUCUGACCAAACAGAAGGGUGUAGUCAUGUCCCAAGCAGUGAACUAACAGAGAAUUAAAGAAUAAUUCCAUCACAAUAAAUUAAUGAAAAUCAUACUUCA